rnacentral:rRNA from 1 species
CCCUAGUAACUGCGAGUGAAGCGGGAAGAGCUCAAAUUUAAAAAUUCUGGCGGCUUUUUCGGUCGUCCGAGUUGUAAUCUGGAGAGGCAUUUUCCGCGUUGGAACCGUGCACAAGUCUCCUGGAACGGAGCGUCAUAGAGGGUGAGAAUCCCGUCCAUGACACGGACCGCCAAUGCUGUGUGAUAUGCUUUCGAAGAGUCGCGUUGUUUGGGAAUGCAGCGCAAAACGGGUGGUAAAUUCCAUCUAAAGCUAAAUAUUGGCGAGAGACCGAUAGCGAACAAGUACCGUGAGGGAAAGAUGAAAAGCACUUUGAAAAGAGAGUUAAACAGUACGUGAAAUUGUUGAAAGGGAAACGCUUGAAGUCAGUCGCGUUCCUUGGAACUCAGCCUCGCCUUCGGGUUUGGUGUACUUUCCAUGUGAACGGGUCAACGUCAAUUUUGGCCGGUGGACAAAGGCGGGGGGGAACGUAGCGUCGCUUCGGCGACGUGUUAUAGCCCCUUGUUGUAUGCACCGGCUGGGAUUGAGGACCGCAGCACGCCCUUUUUUGUGGCCGUGGGCUCGCUCUACGUACCGUGCUUAGGACGUUGGCAUAAUGGCUUUAAGCGACCCGUCUUGAAACACGGACCAAGGAGUCUAACAUGCUUGCGAGUGUUCGGGUGGAAAACCCUUGCGCGUAAUGAAGGUGAAAGGUUAGGAGCCCCUCGAGGGGGGGUGCACUGACGCCCGGCCCUGAAGUUCUCUGACGGCGCUGCGGCAGAGCAAGCAUGUUGGGACCCGAAAGAUGGUGAACUAUGCCUGAAUAGGGCGAAGCCAGAGGAAACUCUGGUGGAGGCUCGUAGCGAUUCUGACGUGCAAAUCGAUCGUCAAAUUUGGGUAUAGGGGCGAAAGAC